UGAUCCUGCUGCUACGAGCGCUUUUGGUCACAUUAAAGAGUUUUCUCCACGUAUGUGGAGG
rnacentral:sRNA from 1 species